GUUUGAUCCUGGCUCAGAUUGAACGCUGGCGGGAUGCUUUACAUGCAAGUCGAACGGCAGCACGGACUUCGGUCUGGUGGCGAGUGGCGAACGGGUGAGUAAUGUAUCGGAACGUGCUGAAGCUGGCGGGGAUAACUACGCGAAAGCGUAGCUAAUACCGCAUACGCCCUUCGGGGAAAGCGGGGACGCUUCGGGCCUCGCACUAUUAGAACGGCCGAUAUCGGAUUAGCUAGUUGGUGGGGUAACGGCUCACCAAGGCGACGAUCCGUAGCUGGUUUGAGAGGACGACCAGCCACAUGGGACUGAGACACGGCCGAACUCACCUACGGGAGGCAACGGUAGAAAUUUUGGGCAAUGGGGAAACCCUGGUCAGCCAUCCCGCGUGUGCGAUGAAGGCCUUCGGGUUGUAAAGCACUUUUGGCAGGAAAGAAACGGCACGGGAUAAUACCCCGUGCAACUGACGGUACCUGCAGAAUAAGCACCGGCUAACUACGUGCCAGCAGCCAUGAUAAUACGUAGGGUGCAAGCGUUAAUCGGAAUUACUGGGCGUAAAGCGUGCACGAGCGGUUCCGGAAAAGAAAGAUGUGAAAUCCCAGAGCUUAACUUUGGAACUGCAUUUUUUUAACUACCGAGCUAGAGUGUGAAAAUCAGAGGGAGGUGGAAUUCCGCGUGUAGCAGUGGAAAUGCGUAGAUAUGCGAGAGGAACACCGAUGGCGAAGGCAGCCUCCUGGGAUAGCGCUGACGCUCAUGCACGAAAGCGUGGGGCAAACAGGAUUAGAUACCUGGUAGUCCACGCCUAAACGAUGUCAACUAGCUGUUGGGGCCUUCGGAGCGCUUGGUGGCCCAGCCUAACGCGUGAAGUUGACCGCCUGGGGAAGUACGGUCGCAAGAUUAAAACUCAAAGGAAUUGACGGGGAUGCACAAGCGGUGGGCUGGGUUAAUUCGUUUGACGAAAACCUUGCCACCACUGACAUUUGGGAAUCCGAGGAGAUUUAGGAUGCUCGCGAGAAUAUAUUGGAACACAGAUGCUGCCGUAGCGAUCAGCUCGUGUCGUGAGAUGUUGGGUUAAGUCCCGCAACGAGCGCAACCCUUGAUGUUAGUUGCUACGAAAGGGAGCACUCUAAUGAGACUGCCGGUGACAAACCGGAGGAAGGUGGGGAUGACGUCAGAUCCUCAUGGCCCUUAUGGGUAGGGCUUCACACGUCAUACAAUGGUCAGGACAGAGGGCC
rnacentral:rRNA from 1 species